rnacentral:rRNA from 1 species
UUAGUGGCGGACGGGUGAGUAACGCGUGGGUAACCUGCCUUACACUGGGGGAUAACACUUAGAAAUAGGUGCUAAUACCGCAUAAGCGCACGAAGCCGCAUGGAUUUGUGUGAAAAACUCCGGUGGUGUAAGAUGGACCCGCGUCUGAUUAGCUUGUUGGCGGGGUAACGGCCCACCAAGGCGACGAUCAGUAGCCGGCCUGAGAGGGUGGACGGCCACAUUGGGACUGAGACACGGCCCAAACUCCUACGGAAGGCAGCAG